UGUUGCUAGAGAAUACCCCCAAUACAAUAAUCAGGUAUUAGGAAAUAAACACACACAGUGUUGCUAGAGAAUACCCCCAAUACAAUAAUCAGGUAUUAGGAAAUAAACACACACAGUGUUGCUAGAGAAUACCCCCAAUACAAUAAUCAGGUAUUAGGAAAUAAACACACAGUGUUGCUAGAGAAUACCCCCAAUACAAUAAUCAGGUAUUAGGAAAUAAACACACACAGUGUUGCUAGAGAAUACCCCCAAUACAAUAAUCAGGUAUUAGGAAAUAAACACACAGUGUUGCUAGAGAAUACCCCCAAUACAAUAAUCAGGUAUUAGGAAAUACACACACACAGUGUUGCUAGAGAAUACCCCCAAUACAAUAAUCAGGUAUUAGGAAAUAAACACACACACAGUGUUGCUAGAGAAUACCCCCAAUACAAUAAUCAGGUAUUAGGAAAUACACACACAGUGUUGCUAGAGAAUACCCCCAAUACAAUAAUCAGGUAUUAGGAAAUAAACACACACAGUGUUGCUAGAGAAUACCCCCAAUACAAUAAUCAGGUAUUAGGAAAUAAACACACACACAGUGUUGCUAGAGAAUACCCCCAAUACAAUAAUCAGGUAUUAGGAAAUAAACACACACACAGUGUUGCUAGAGAAUACCCCCAAUACAAUAAUCAGGUAUUAGGAAAUAAACACACAGUGUUGCUAGAGAAUACCCCCAAUACAAUAAUCAGGUAUUAGGAAAUAAACACACAGUGUUGCUAGAGAAUACCCCCAAUACAAUAAUCAGGUAUUAGGAAAUAAACACACAGUGUUGCUAGAGAAUACCCCCAAUACAAUAAUCAGGUAUUAGGAAAUAAACACACACACAGUGUUGCUAGAGAAUACCCCCAAUACAAUAAUCAGGUAUUAGGAAAUAAACACACACACAGUGUUGCUAGAGAAUACCCCCAAUACAAUAAUCAGGUAUUAGGAAAUAAACACACAGUGUUGCUAGAGAAUACCCCCAAUACAAUAAUCAGGUAUUAGGAAAUAAACACACACAGUGUUGCUAGAGAAUACCCCCAAUACAAUAAUCAGGUAUUAGGAAAUAAACACACACAGUGUUGCUAGAGAAUACCCCCAAUAAAAUAAUCAGGUAUUAGGAAAUACACACACACACACAGUGUUGCUAGAGAAUACCCCCAAUACAAUAAUCAGGUAUUAGGAAAUACACACACACAGUGUUGCUAGAGAAUACCCCCAAUACAAUAAUCAGGUAUUAGGAAAUAAACACACACAGUGUUGCUAGAGAAUACCCCCAAUAAAAUAAUCAGGUAUUAGGAAAUAAACACACACACAGUGUUGCUAGAGAAUACCCCCAAUAAAAUAAUCAGGUAUUAGGAAAUACACACACAGUGUUGCUAGAGAAUACCCCCAAUACAAUAAUCAGGUAUUAGGAAAUAAACACACACAGUGUUGCUAGAGAAUACCCCCAAUAAAAUAAUCAGGUAUUAGGAAAUAAACACACACAGUGUUGCUAGAGAAUACCCCCAAUACAAUAAUCAGGUAUUAGGAAAUACACACACACAGUGUUGCUAGAGAAUACCCCCAAUACAAUAAUCAGGUAUUAGGAAAUACACACACACAGUGUUGCUAGAGAAUACCCCCAAUACAAUAAUCAGGUAUUAGGAAAUACACACACACAGUGUUGCUAGAGAAUACCCCCAAUACAAUAAUCAGGUAUUAGGAAAUACACACACACAGUGUUGCUAGAGAAUACCCCCAAUACAAUAAUCAGGUAUUAGGAAAUACACACACACAGUGUUGCUAGAGAAUACCCCCAAUACAAUAAUCAGGUAUUAG